rnacentral:rRNA from 1 species
GACGAACGAGGGUGGCGGGAGGAACACAUGCAAGUCGAACGGAAAGGCCCUGCUUUUGUGGGGUGCUCGAGUGGCGAACGGGUGAGUAACACGUGAGUAACCUGCCCUUGACUUUGGGAUAACUUCAGGAAACUGGGGCUAAUACCGGAUAGGAGCUCCUGCUGCAUGGUGGGGGUUGGAAAGUUUCGGCGGUUGGGGAUGGACUCGCGGCUUAUCAGCUUGUUGGUGGGGUAGUGGCUUACCAAGGCUUUGACGGGUAGCCGGCCUGAGAGGGUGACCGGCCACAUUGGGACUGAGAUACGGCCCAGACUCCUACGGGAGGCAGCAGUGGGGAAUAUUGCACAAUGGGCGGAAGCCUGAUGCAGCAACGCCGCGUGCGGGAUGACGGCCUUCGGGUUGUAAACCGCUUUCGCCUGUGACGAAGCGUGAGUGACGGUAAUGGGUAAAGAAGCACCGGCUAACUACGUG